CUUUUCCCUCCACUCCCAUACCCGCGCACUUGUUUCUCUGUUCGCCUUUCCUUUCUGUUUUCGUUUUCAUUCGUGACUUGGAGGUGCACUCGUAUAUACGUGCAUACGCCCGUGUGCGUGUGUGUGUGUGAAAGAGGGGGAGAGCGCCACCAUCACCACCCUCGCUGUAGUGGGCUGCAUCACACUUCUCUCUCUGCUUCUCCUACCCCCUCCGCCAACGUCGCUGCUCGAGUGCUGAUGCCUCGUCCGACGCCGCCGUUUCGGCACUGGUCGCUGGUAAACUGCCCCUCGGAGGACUCGCCGCUAGGCCGCAUCGGACACUCCUUCUGCGCCAAUGCCGAUGGCAGCAAGGCGUACGUCUACGGCGGCGUGAACGACACGGACAGCGUGUCCAUCUACCUGGACGACUUGUGGCAGUACGACGUGAUCAACAAGCGAUGGAGGGAGAUUGAGCUGCGCGGCGAGAAGCAGCACCCGCGCGCGUUCCACACCGCAGUUUGGUAUGACACGUGCAUGUACAUCUUCGGUGGCUGCAACGGCCGCGGUCGGUUCAACAAGCUCUUCUACAUUAGCGAAGAUGGCGACUGCCACCCUGUCGUCGUGCGAGGGGCGCUCAUUCCAAUGACUCGCUACUGCCACAGCGCCGUUGUGUUUGGAAAUACCAUGUACAUCUUCGGAGGCAAGUGCGGCGGGCGCAACAGCAACAAGCGGCUGCAGGACCUGUACCGCUGCGACUUGAGCGACCCGGAGUGGAAGGAAUGCAACCAGCUUGGCACGAUCCCACCGCCGCGCUCUGCCCAUACUGCAAUGACGUACGAGCGCACCAUGAUUGUUUUCGGUGGCCGCAACAGCGGCGGCGAGUGCUGCGAAGACUUUUUCGUCUAUUCCUUCGACACCUCGAUGUGGCGGCGCAUCGACCUGCCGCAGGUGCCGAUGUUUGGCCGUGCCCGUAAUAGCGCCGCUGUGCACUACGGCAACAUCAUCGUCUUCGGUGGCUGGAAUGGCAAAAAGAAGUUGAACGACUUGUUCAUCUACAACGUGGAGGCGAACACGUUUGAGUUCAUGUACGAUAUCGACCGCGAGUACCCGUCUCGUCGCGAGUGCCACGUGGCGGUCGUAUGCCGCAACACCAUGGUAGUCUUUGGUGGCCGCUUCCGCGGCCACUUCAUGAAUGACACGACGGAACUGUACCUAGGCAGCAAGACAGGCGUCGACAGCAUGCGUGAUUGGCUCAUCAUGGCGGACCCACAGCUCACCGGGUUGGCAACGCACCUCCCGUUGCACCACUUCGCGGCUCUCAAGGCACACAAGGACUACGUCGUUCCAGAGUUGCCAGAGGAGCCUAUGUGGCCGCUUAUAGGGCAUACACCCUAAUCUGUGCAGAUAGGUAUCGGUAUAUGUGCAUGUUUUGAUCUGAUGUGCACGGGCGUGGAUGUCCGUGUGAGACGUGUGCGAGUGCUCGGCUUGUACGGCCCGUGUUCCUCUCCUCUUCCCUUCUUCCAUCUCGCUACCUCACUGCUUGAUAGGGCUAGUACUGGUGUCCGUGAUUGUGGCUUGCUCUUACCUUAUCUUUCUUAUCCCCCUUUUCUGUCUUUCACGACCGCGCGCGCCAAAG
rnacentral:misc_RNA from 1 species